rnacentral:rRNA from 1 species
UACGUAGGGGGCAAGCGUUGUCCGGAUUUACUGGGCGUAAAGCGCGCGUAGGUGGAAGCUUAAGUGUGGCUUGAAAGCCCCCGGCUCAACCGGGGAAGGUGGCUGCAAACUGGGCUUCUUGAGGGCGAUAGAGGAGUGUGGAAUUCCUGGUGUAGCGGUGAAAUGCGUAGAGAUCAGGAGGAACACCGGUGGCGAAGGCGGCACUCUGGAUCGGCCCUGACACUGAGGCGCGAAAGCGUGGGGAGCAAACAGG